AUUGAACGCUGGCGGCAGGCCUAACACAUGCAAGUCGAACGAGUGGCGGACGGGUGAGUAAUGUCUCGGAAACUGCCUGAUGGAGGGGGAUAACUACUGGAAACGGUAGCUAAUACCGCAUACCAUCAGAUAUGCCCAGAUGGGAUUAGCUUGUUGGUGGGGUAACGGCUCACCAGGGCGACGAUCCCUAGCUGGUCUGAGUGGCUGACAGGCCACACUGGAACUGAGACACGGUCCAGACGCCCACGGGAGGCAGCAGUGGGGAAUAGUGCACAAUGGGCGAAAGCCUGAUGCCGCCAUGCCGCGUGUAGGAAGAAGGACUUAGGGUUGUAAAGUACUUUCAGCGGGGCGGCGUUACCCGCAGAAGAAGCACCGGCUAACUCCGUGCCAGCAGCCGCGGUAAUAC
rnacentral:rRNA from 1 species